rnacentral:rRNA from 1 species
AUACGGAGGGAGCGAGCGUUAAUCGGAAUUACUGGGCGUAAAGCGCGCGUAGGCGGCUUUGUAAGUCGGAUGUGAAAGCCCUGGGCUCAACCUGGGAAUGGCAUUCGAUACUGCAGAGCUAGAGUAUGGUAGAGGGAAGUGGAAUUUCCGGUGUAGCGGUGAAAUGCGUAGAUAUCGGAAGGAACACCAGUGGCGAAGGUGACUUCCUGGGCCAAUACUGACGCUGAGGUGCGAAAGCGUGGGGAGCAAACAGGAUUAGAAACCCCGGUAGUCC